GCUGCCGCAAAAUCGGCAGCCGGGCGUAGGAACCCGAGUAACUUAUUGGCGACACAACACGCGCCAUGCGUGUUUUUU
rfam:Cronobacter sakazakii ATCC BAA-894, complete genome.